rnacentral:rRNA from 1 species
GAUGAACGCUGGCGGCGUGCCUAAUACAUGCAAGUCGAGCGAACAGACGAGGAGCUUGCUCCUCUGACGUUAGCGGCGGACGGGUGAGUAACACGUGGAUAACCUACCUAUAAGACUGGGAUAACUUCGGGAAACCGGAGCUAAUACCGGAUAAUCUAUUGAAACGCAUGGUUCAAUAGUGAAAGACGGUUUUGCUGUCACUUAUAGAUGGAUCCGCGCCGCAUUCGCUAGUUGGUAAGGUAACGGCUUACCAAGGCAACGAUGCGUAGCCGACCUGAGAGGGUGAUCGGCCACACUGGAACUGAGACACGGUCCAGACUCCUACGGGAGGCAGCAGUAGGGAAUCUUCCGCAAUGGGCGAAAGCUUGACGGAGCAACGCCGCGUGAGUGAUGAAGGUCUUCGGAUCGUAAAACUCUGUUAUUAGGGAAGAACAAAUGUGUAAGUAACUAUGCACGUCUUGACGGUACCUAAUCAGAAAGCCACGGCUAACUACGUG